UGAAACUGGAUAACAGCUCGAGCGCUUGAGGAGUGCAGACGGAAGAGAAGAGGAGCCACGGCAACACUGUAACAUGGAGGAGGAACGAAAGAACACGACUACGUCAAAACGACCGAAAUCCACAAGAAAAAUGGCAACACUGUGUCCAGAUCUUCAUACAGAACAUUUGAGACCAGCUAUGAAUCCAUCAUGAAGCAGUGAAUUAAAGGAGUGAAAACUCGAUGAAGGAUGACAAAUCAAGAGGGGCAUCACCUGGGCAUGCAGUAUCCAGUGCUGGACCGCAGUAACAAUUAGAUGGUAUGUGGCCUGAAUGCUCCAGCAGGAAUCCAGAAAGGCCUGAAGACUACUCUACCCCAUACAACUGAAGAUUCACGAGGAGACAACUGCUUUAUCAAGAAGGAGGCAAUUUUUUCCCCCCUUUUUCUUUUUCUUUUUCUUGUCUUGUGCUGAUUGGAAUUUGGAUUGUCAGAUGUUUUGCCUUUGCUUUGCUUGUAAUUGUUGAUGUGGCUGCAUCAAUAAUGUGAUUAUGAAAUGGAGUUGAACUGUCCUUAUGCUGUGAAAUUGAGCUUUAAUUUGAUUUUAUUUUAAAUGUCAAAUGAAAACGUUCAAUGUCUUCUCAUUCAAGGAAAGCAAAUGUUUUGUCUAAUUUCAAAUUCGAAUGUCAUUUUGAUAAAUAAAAUAAUGAAAUUGUUAAAGAAA